AUGUCUUUACCUCCAAAAGUGCUCAUGCAUUUUCCUUGUCUCCUGCUACAGGUCUGUGAUUGGCCGAGAGUUUGAGUGCAAGGCUGAUCGAUGAGAGCCUGCAGCAGGAUGAACCAACCAGAGAGGCAGUUGUCUUUUCCCCCCUAUCUCAUCCCACCCUAGCUCUUUAAAAUCAUAAGAGAUGAGGUUUUGCUGUGGCUUGUCGAUCCAAGGCCAAACUGUCAUGACGACGUACACGGAUCCUGUGACGUGUGCUACCUCAUCACACCCUUUUUGUUGAACUGCAAAAUGCUGCACUGCCAAUAUUACUACAGAAUUAAAUUUUGUAACGAGGACACACUUCCACAAAGGUUGAUGGCAAAUUUCAUUUAGCAGAUGAAUUUGGUGGGUCUGCUGGUCAGUACAAGUUGUAUUUUCUGUUGCAUCAAACCACUAACUUUAGCAUCAGCAAUGCCAAGAGCGAAACAAAAAUAGUCCAACCAUUGUGCUUUGUAAAUAUGACACAAAUAAACACUCAGAAAAUAGUC